rnacentral:rRNA from 1 species
UACGGAGGGUGCAAGCGUUGUCCGGAAUCACUGGGCGUAAAGGGCGCGUAGGCGGCUCAUGAAGGCUGUGGUGAAAGUCCGGGGCUCAACCUCGGAUCGGCCGUGGCGACUCGUGGGCUGGAGCACUGUAGAGGCGAGUGGAAUUCCGGGUGUAGCGGUGGAAUGCGUAGAGAUGCGGAAGAACACCAGUGGCGAAGGCGGCCCGCUGGGCAGUAGCUGACGCUGAGGCGCGACAGCGUGGGGAGCAAACAGG